GACGAACGCUUGCUUCUUUCUUAACACAUUCAAUUCGAACGUAAAGGCCCUGCUUUUGUGGGGUGCUCGAGUGGCGAACGGGUGAGUAACACGUGAGUAACCUGCCCUUGACUUUGGGAUAACUUCAGGAAACUGGGGCUAAUACCGGAUAGGAGCUCCUGCUGCAUGGUGGGGGUUGGAAAGUUUCGGCGGUUGGGGAUGGACUCGCGGCUUAUCAGCUUGUUGGUGGGGUAGUGGCUUACCAAGGCUUUGACGGUUAGCCGGCCUGAGAGGGUGACCGGCCACAUUGGGACUGAGAUACGGCCCAGACUCCUACGGGAGGCAGCAGUGGGGAAUAUUGCACAAUGGGCGGAAGCCUGAUGCAGCAACGCCGCGUGCGGGAUGAAGGCAUUCGGGUUGUAAACCGCUUUCGCCUGUGACGAAGCGUGAGUGACGGUAAUGGGUAAAGAAGCAAAGGAUAAAUACGGG
rnacentral:rRNA from 1 species